ensembl:snRNA U6 U6 spliceosomal RNA
GUGCUGGCUUCAGCAGCACAUAUACUAAUAUUGGAACAAUACAGAGAUGAUUAGCAUGGCCCUUGUACAAGAAUGACAUGCAAAUCUGUGAAGCGUCCAUUUUUUUU